GGGUCCCCCACAAGGAGCAUGCGCAGCUCCUCGGAUUCUCCUCUGCCCUCUGUGCGCUCGGCUCGCCAAGGGUUAACAGGAGGCGAGCUGGAAUCCUAGAGAGGCCAGAAAGUGGGGAGGGGGGUCCCAGGUCCUCCAGAGCGGAAGCCCCUCCUUCGUCCUCUGCCAAGGCUGCCUCGGUGGCCCCUCCUGGGAUCCAUGUUUUUACAAUCUGUAUAGAUCCAGCCUUAGCUCAGACUUCUCUUCAUUUUAAUCUUCAAAUGAUCCUGUAACUACAACCAAAGCCUGAAUAUGAACUAACACCUCAGAGAUGAAUUAGAAGUGGUGAAGAGAUCAGAACAUCCCCUCCUGCCCUUUUGGGAACAGAAGCCCUUUGGAGUAUUGCUUGCUUGUGUGUUCAUUUUGUGCGUUUGUGUGUGUAUUUGGAUCUCUGGAAGACAACAUACAUGUUUACACCACGUGAACAUAUAGAGAGGGCACUGCUGCCUACAAUCAGCUACAAAAACUGAGUCCUCUUUAUACCGACAAUAAAAUACCUGCAAUGAAUGAAAUGUGAUUCUGGCAUACGAAGCACUUUGUGUUUAUCCCUUCCUGCAAUUUGGAAGGAAAAUGUAGCCAAUCCACUUUAAAUUCUUUAAUUGCAAUGGUUCAGCAGCCAGCAUAUUUUAAAGGAAACUUGUGGAGUAUUUAUUCUUUUAUUUUAUUCUUUAGAGCCUUAAACUGCCUUUACUACUCAGAAGUCCCAUUGAAUUCAAUGGAGCUUUCUCUGAGAUAACUGUGUAAAGAUUCUGCAGUCUUAUACUGCAAUCUUCAGCAUUUUUACUCAGAGGUAUACGACUGAGUUCAGUAGGACUU